AUCUUUUUCAUGGUCAUGGUGGAGUGAUUAAACAUACCGCUGUUGAAGACCUUGUUAAAUCUAGCAUCUUUCCCAUGGUACUCAAAAGCUGUCAUGCCAUACGCCUUGUUGAAUGGAAUUCCACCAUCCAACACCGCAUCUUUCAAAUGGUACCUAAUUAAAAUAUUAUAAGCAACCAUUAAUCAUGUGGUCAACGUUAUUUAUUUUUUAUUUUCUCAUUAGGUUUAAAAUUUAAAUUAACAUAGUCAUUGACCAACCUCUUUGGUGGUGGUUGAAGCUGAUUAGGUUUAUGUCUUUCUCAUAUCAUCACAUCAACAUAUGUUUAAUUAACAUCAAUUGCUAUGUGUUAAAAGGUUUCCUAAAUGACACUUGAACAACUACAAAGUUUACUAUAUGUCCGUAUUUUCCAGCAAAAAAAAUGAUUCAAUACAAGUGAGGCCGUUAAUUAUAAAUAUAAAAGAAAAAAAAAAAUACUCUCUCCAAUCAAUAUGAUUUUUGCAAAUGAGAACAGAUUUAUUUGCAAUGCAACAUUCCUCUAAAAAUAUGUGCUAUUUUUCAGUUUGAUGCCUAUAAUUAGCAAUUGGUGUUACCCAUGGUCUUGAAAUAAAUAAAACGUACUUUACUUUUUUUUUAGCAAUCAGAAAUGAUAAAGGAAUACGUUUCUUACCAGCUCUCCAUAAGAAUCUUAUCCUGGUUCAUAAGCAGGAGAGGCGCCAUGGAAACACCAUCUUCGUUCUUUACCAAAAAUUUGCAGACCGGGGCCAGACCAUAGAGGCGUUGAACAACACCAUCGCCGGCUACAUCCUUGAGGGUACAAGUGAGGACGGAGUAGCUAGCCAAUAGGCGGCAGAUCCU
rnacentral:lncRNA from 1 species